UGCAAAAGAUUUGAUUAGGGUUUUGUAGAACGGAAUGAAUUGGAAAUUUGAUGCAGCAUUAGAUCUUUCAAGUAAUUGAUCUUGUAAUGAUGAAUUUGAUAGUUUCAAGCUUUUUGUUUCUAAUUUUAAAUUUAUCUUCCUUCCUUCCUUUUUUUUUUCUGUGGUGUGGGUGUGCUAUUAUUGAUUAAUCAUUUGUUAAGACCUAAUUAGUGUUUUACUUUAGUUUGUGAACAUGAUAGUUGGUUGACAAAUGACAUGAGACUUUGUUUAAGGUCUGAGAUUUGCAUGGUUGAAAGUGGACUGACUCUGUAUGAGAUGGAGAAGCAAUGAAAGAUGAAAGUUUGUGAGCUAGUUGUUUGAAAAGUCAUGGCAAAGUUUAGGGUUGCCAAGUUAUGAUAGCAGGUGGGAUUGGAUGGGAUGAAUUUGUCAAGUAUUAGAAAGGAAGUGAACCUGGGCUCUUGAUAAAUUAGACUAAUUUUUUGUUGCAAGUUAUCUGGAGCUUUGGAUUGCCAUACUGUGUUCUUUUUCAGGAAAGGAGCACUUACAUGAUGACAUUGAGAGCUUAAGGGAGCUUCAACAAUAAUUCAAUGUAUUGUGCUUGUAGUUUGGCUUGCUUUUAGUUCUUUGCGGGGGCAAAUGUGUUUUGCUUCUAGCUUGUUUUGCCAUGCAUUUGAGUUUCGAGCUUACGUCCAAGGGGUUUAAAUCCUCUUAAAUACAGAUCAAGCUGAAAAUUUUCCUUGAAUGUUGUGUUGGGGUAUUUCUAAUUGUUGUCGUGAUUGCUGAGUUUGUUGGCAGUGAGGAAGGUACACGCCUUGUGAUUUAUGUCUCUGAAAAAACCCAAAAUCUUGGAGAAUACAUGGUGGGCAUUUGUUUUUCUAUGAUGCUGUGCAACUAUCUUUCUUUAGUCUUCCAGGAUUUGUUGCUUCUCGGAGUACUGCAAAUGUUUGCACGCAUGCUAGAAGCCCUUCU
rnacentral:lncRNA from 1 species